AACGAACGCUGGCGGCAUGCCUAACACAUGCAAGUCGAACGCCUGUAGCAAUACAGGAGUGGCAGACGGGUGCAUAACACGUGGGAACCUACCCUUGGGUUCGGAAUAACCGCGGGAAACUGCGGCUAAUACCGGAUACGUCCUGUGGGAGAAAGAUUCAUCGCCCUUGGAGGGGCCCGCGUCGGAUUAGCUAGUUGGUGAGGUAACGGCUCACCAAGGCGACGAUCCGUAGCUGAUCUGAGAGGAUGAUCAGCCACACUGGAACUGUGACACGGUCCAGACUCCUACGGGAGGCAGCAGUGGGGAAUAAUUGGACAAUGGGCGCAAGCCUGAUCCAGCAAUGCCGCCGUGGGUGAUGAAGG
rnacentral:rRNA from 1 species